rnacentral:rRNA from 1 species
UACAGAGGUCCCAAGCGUUGUUCGGAUUCACUGGGCGUAAAGGGUGCGUAGGUGGCCAGGUAAGUUUGGUGUGAAAGCUCGGAGCUUAACUCCGAAAAGUCAUUGAAUACUAUCUGGCUGGAGGGUCGGAGGGGAGACUGGAAUUCUCGGUGUAGCAGUGAAAUGCGUAGAUAUCAGGAGGAACACCGGUGGCGAAGGCGGGUCUCUGGGCAACAACUGACGCUGAGGAGCGAAAGCGUGGGGAGCGAACAGG